GUUGGCUUCUGCAGUGGAGUCCCAUUGAAGGAUCUGCUCUAACAAAGUUCCAGCCCAGCGUGUCUUUUCCCACCAAGUAGGAGUUUGGGCCUCCUUGCAUGCUGAGCGUAUGCUUAGGUGAUCUGCUGGAUCGAGGCAAGAGUCUCCCAUUUUCUUCCCUGGUCUUAACCACACCAAGUACAAGUUUCUUUUAUUGCUUCCAAGGCUGUCUACAGGUUUCCUCCUCGCUAGGGGAACUGCCCCUAUUUCAUCAUGCUCUGACCUGUUCAUUUUCUCAUCUGGAGUCUUCUCCAAAGUGCUUGUAACUUUCCUUGGGAUCCUAAGCCCUGCAGACCUCUGAAGAUUCAGGGUCUGAGCCAGCCUCUACAGAAAUCCAUUGAAAAAACACCUGCUGGCUCCUGUGAGCUGAAGAUAAAGCUUGUAAUGAUGAACUUCGCUUAGCAGUUGUCCAAAAUGCUGCAGUUCGGGCUCCCGCGUUACUGCUGGAUGGCAUGCUCGCGGACCUGCACCCCCACCCGUGCGAAGGCGAGGAGGCUUCAGGCUGUAAAACCCGUGCGGCUCUGCCAGCACAGACCGACCGCCCACCUGCAGGCGCCUGCCUCCCACCCUGCGCACCCCGAGUGACAACGCCAGCGCCGGCACAGCACCCCUGUGUCACCGCACCCCGGUUCUGCCACCUUUCCCCCAUCGCUGCGACCCCAGCGGCAGGGAUUCCUUAACCUACAAGGGGAAGGAAGGGCUGGAAACAAGCGUUUUCAUCUCUGCCGCCGGUUCUAGCUCGGGGAGGAUGCUUCCAGCUUUAAUAAACCAGAUGAUCAAAGCCUUUGUGUGAAUCCUGCCGUCAGGAGAGAGGUUGUGCCGCCGUACUGACAGCACACCCGAGCCCUGCUCAGCUCCCCCAAACCCCGCUUUUCUCAGCUGCAAGCUCUGGGCACCCACACCUUCUCCCUCCAGCCCAAGGCGGGAGGGCAACCGAUGCCGGGGAGAGAGAAUGCUUUCCAAACAGUCAUUUUCUUUCCCAGCAAGCCAGAGAUUUAAUAUACAUAUGAGUGAUCUGGGGCCGUGUUAUUUUUCAGCCUUCAAAAUUGUAUUUAUUUUCUUUCCACUCUUCUGAAAGAUGCGUAUCAGAGGCACCUGAGAGCAGCCAAAGCAGCCGCCUGAUAAGAUCUUUACAAUUCAUUUGCACAACCAUGCCUUUUGCAAAGGAAAAAAAGAAAGUGUUAACGAGUUGACAAGCACGCUCUUCCUUGCAGCGAGCAGCGCUGCCAGCCGCAAUAUUACUGCAGGGAGGAGAGAGCAGGGUGGUGGCAGAAGACCUUGAAAAAAAUGCUUUGUUCAAUCCGGUUACAAAGACUCCUGCUUCCUUAACAUACCAAAUCCUAGCUGGCCGAGCAAGGCAAUGGAUUCAAUAGAAACUCCACUUGGUAACGAUGCAGGGCAGCGCGUUGCUAUCGGGGUUUCAAGGAUGAGUCCUUGGGGUGGAAAGAAAUAAUGUUUAACCAAGAAGGAUCAAAGCAAAAAAAAAGGAGUGUUUGCUAGGCGCGUGGCUUCUGUAUAGAGCGGUUCCGGAUUCUGACCUGACGGCCGCAGAUGAUGGUCCAACAGUGGUUUUACCCUCUGACACUGCCAUUUGCAACCAGAUCCUCAAACGAUGCAAAUUUGCCCGAUCUCAGUUCAGCCUGAACACGCACACACACACACACACACAAAAUCCUGCUUAGGAAAGAAAGGACCAAGACCAGAUUUCAAGAAUAACUCAGACGAGCAAGUGAGUAUUUUCUUUCAUGCCUUGCUCUUUUGCAUUUACUGAAUUUGUUCCACAUGAAUGUAGAAACAGCUGCAUCAGCACCAGCACUGAGGCUGGAGCCUUAUUAAUAUUUAUGCCUGGCGAGCAGAGCACACAGGAAUCAAAAUGCCUUCCUGUCAUUGGUUCAGGGACCCCAGCAUCCGUACAGCAUCUUGCCAUGUUUGGUGGCCAGGCAAGCAGAUUUAUUAGAAAGCGGAUCAAUUUCUCAUCAGCACUCUCACCCGAUCGCGGGAAAACUGCCCUUCGCCUCCUACCUGCUCUUUACUUCUCGUCGUUCAAUAAUUUCCCAAUUAGGGGAACCAUUUUUCAUCUCUCUUUUGCACUUCUGUGGUUUAUAUUCUCAUCUAUUAAAUACGGUUGGAGACAUUA